rnacentral:rRNA from 1 species
GGUUAAGCGACUAAGCGUACACGGUGGAUGCCCUGGCAGUCAGAGGCGAUGAAGGGCGUGCUAAUCUGCGAUAAGCGCCGGUAAGGUGAUAUGAACCGUUAUAACCGGCGAUACCCGAAUGGGGAAACCCAGUGUGACUCGUCACACUAUCAUUAACUGAAUCCAUAGGUUAAUGAGGCGAACCGGGGGAACUGAAACAUCUAAGUACCCCGAGGAAAAGAAAUCAACCGAGAUUCCCCCAGUAGCGGCGAGCGAACGGGGAGGAGCCCAGAGCCUGAAUCAGCAUGUGUGUUAGUGGAAGCGUCUGGAAAGACGCGCGAUACAGGGUGACAGCCCCGUACACAAAAGCGUAUGUGCUGUGAGCUCGAUGAGUAGGGCGGGACACGUGGUAUCCUGUCUGAAUAUGGGGGGACCAUCCUCCAAGGCUAAAUACUCCUGACUGACCGAUAGUGAACCAGUACCGUGAGGGAAAGGCGAAAAGAACCCCGGCGAGGGGAGUGAAAAAGAACCUGAAACCGUGUACGUACAAGCAGUGGGAGCACAGGUUUACCUGUGUGACUGCGUACCUUUUGUAUAAUGGGUCAGCGACUUAUAUUCUGUAGCAAGGUUAACCGAAUAGGGGAGCCGGAGGGAAACCGAGUCUUAAUUGGGCGUUAAGUUGCAGGGUAUAGACCCGAAACCCGGUGAUCUAGCCAUGGGCAGGUUGAAGGUUGGGUAACACUAACUGGAGGACCGAACCGACUAAUGUUGAAAAAUUAGCGGAUGACCUGUGGCUGGGGGUGAAAGGCCAAUCAAACCGGGAGAUAGCUGGUUCUCCCCGAAAGCUAUUUAGGUAGCGCCUCGUGAAUUCAUCUCCGGGGGUAGAGCACUGUUUCGGCUAGGGGGUCAUCCCGACUUACCAACCCGAUGCAAACUGCGAAUACCGGAGAAUGUUAUCACGGGAGACACACGGCGGGUGCUAACGUCCGUCGUGAAGAGGGAAACAACCCAGACCGCCAGCUAAGGUCCCAAAGUCAUGGUUAAGUGGGAAACGAUGUGGGAAGGCCCAGACAGCCAGGAUGUUGGCUUAGAAGCAGCCAUCAUUUAAAGAAAGCGUAAUAGCUCACUGGUCGAGUCGGCCUGCGCGGAAGAUGUAACGGGGCUAAACCAUGCACCGAAGCUGCGGCAGCGACACUCAGGUGUUGUUGGGUAGGGGAGCGUUCUGUAAGCCUGCGAAGGUGGCCUGUGAGGGUUGCUGGAGGUAUCAGAAGUGCGAAUGCUGACAUAAGUAACGAUAAAGCGGGUGAAAAGCCCGCUCGCCGGAAGACCAAGGGGUUCCUGUCCAACGUUAAUCGGGGCAGGGUGAGUCGACCCCUAAGGCGAGGCCGAAAGGCGUAGUCGAUGGGAAACGGGUUAAUA